CAGAUAACUAUCAACCCAUCCAAUUGAGGCAGUUCCUUAAACCUGGUUUGGAUAGGAAAUGCAUCUAUGAUAUAGAACUAUUGAGGACAGAUGGACUUUCAGUCAAGUGUGUUCUGUACACACACCAGAGGGUCGUGAAGGGGGGGGGGGCAUUCCCAUUUCCCACCUGAAAUCUUGUGCCGAAGGCACGGAAAAUUUUUAAAUUUGAAUCCCGGAAAUGGCAUUUGCAGCAUUCUGAGACACGCAUAAUCAGAAAACCCAGAAUUCCGGGCGCCAG